rnacentral:rRNA from 1 species
CCUACGGGCGGCAGCAGUGGGGAAUAUUGGACAAUGGGCGAAAGCCUGAUCCAGCCAUGCCGCGUGUGUGAAGAAGGCCUUCGGGUUGUAAAGCACUUUCAGUGGGGAAGAAAGCCUUGGGGCUAAUACCCUCGAGGAAGGACAUCACCCACAGAAGAAGCACCGGCUAACUCCGUGCCAGCAGCCGCGGUAAUACGGAGGGUGCGAGCGUUAAUCGGAAUUACUGGGCGUAAAGCGCGCGUAGGCGGUCUGAUAAGCCGGUUGUGAAAGCCCCGGGCUCAACCUGGGAACGGCAUCCGGAACUGUCAGGCUAGAGUGCAGGAGAGGAAGGUAGAAUUCCCGGUGUAGCGGUGAAAUGCGUAGAGAUCGGGAGGAAUACCAGUGGCGAAGGCGGCCUUCUGGACUGACACUGACGCUGAGGUGCGAAAGCGUGGGUAGCAAACAGGACUAGAUACCCCUGUAGUC